GUUGAUUAGAUACCCUAGUAGUCCACGCCGUAAACGAUGGAUACUAGCUGUUCGGAGCAAUCUGAGUGGCUAAGCGAAAGUGAUAAGUAUCCCACCUGGGGAGUACGCACGCAAGUGUGAAACUCAAAGGAAUUGACGGGGGCCCGCACAAGCGGUGGAGCAUGUGGUUUAAUUCGAUGAUACGCGAGGAACCUUACCAGGGCUUAAAUGGGAGUGGACAGCUUAGGAAACUAGGCCUUCUUCGGACCACUUUCAAGGUGCUGCAUGGCUGUCGACAGCU
rnacentral:rRNA from 1 species